AUACGGAGGGUGCAAGCGUUAUUCGGAAUCACUGGGCGUAAAGGACGCGUAGGCGGGUUGGCAAGUCAGAUGUGAAAUCCUACAGCUUAACUGUAGAACUGCAUUUGAAACUGCUAACCUAGAGUAUGGGAGGGGGAGAUGGAAUUAGUGGUGUAGGAGUAAAAUCCGUAGAUAUCACUAGGAAUACCGAAAGCGAAGGCGAUCUCCUGGAACAUAACUGACGCUAAGGCGUGGAAGCGUGGGGAGCAAACAGGAUUAGAAACCCUAGUAGUCC
rnacentral:rRNA from 1 species